AGGGCUGGGAGGAGGACCUGCUGCCUGAGGAGAGGGAGGUUCCUCUGCUAAACCUCUACCUUACCACCAAGAGAGUGGAGGACAUCGCCCUGAGGCUCGUCUCCCUGCGCCAGGCCUUCACUACCCUGCUUGGUUCCACCCUGAGCAGGAACCAUCUGUUUGUGGCGGGAAAGGUCCUCCUGGGCGCUUUGGUUCAGGCCAACCACAUGGUAACUCACUAACUCAUUCUCUUUCAAGGGAAUUAGAGCAUCCC